rfam:Anisakis simplex genome assembly, scaffold: ASIM_scaffold0000089
AUGUGGUGAAAGACAUGGGUAGUGAGACGUUUCAUAAAGUCGUAUCACUAUUCUGUUUUUCGCCUCGUU